CAGCCGCCGCGGGAAUACAGAGGGUGCGAGCGUUAAUCGGAUUUACUGGGCGUAAAGCGUGCGUAGGCGGCUUUUUAAGUCGGAUGUGAAAUCCCUGAGCUUAACUUAGGAAUUGCAUUCGAUACUGGGAAGCUAGAGUAUGGGAGAGGAUGGUAGAAUUCCAGGUGUAGCGGUGAAAUGCGUAGAGAUCUGGAGGAAUACCGAUGGCGAAGGCAGCCAUCUGGCCUAAUACUGACGCUGAGGUACGAAAGCAUGGGGAGCAAACAGGAUUAGAGACCCCCGUAGUCCCUUCUCUUAUACC
rnacentral:rRNA from 1 species